CACGUAGUUAGCCGUGACUUAUUCACGUGGUACCGUCCUUUCUCGUCCCACGCAAAAGGAGUUUACGAGCCGAAACCCUUCAUCCUCCACGCGGCGUUGCUGCGUCAGGCUUUCGCCCAUUGCGCAAUAUUCCUUA
rnacentral:rRNA from 1 species